rnacentral:tRNA from 1 species
GCUGUAGAUCAGUGGUAGAGCACCUACUUUGCAUGCAGAAGGUCCCAGGUUCAAUCCCUGGCAUCUCCA